UAACUUCAUUAUGUAUCGCGAUGAACAACGAGGGUGAAGAUUGCGUGUAUUUGUAAAUUCGCAUCUCUAUCCUCGUUUCUGUAUCAUCCCAGCU